UUCUCCUCCUCCUUAUAGAAAAUGUGUGCUGUUGCAUUGUCUGCAUCGUAUCUCUCUUUCCUGAUCUCUUUUUUGUUUGUUUGUGAAGGGGUAAAAUGUGUAACUGGAGAGGAAGUUGCUGUCAAACGGAAUCUGUGAAGACCAGGCAUCCACAGCUUCAUUAUGAGUCAAAAUUGUAUAUGCUUCUUCAAGGAGGAACGGGUAUUCCCCAUCUCAGGUGGUUGGAGUCGAGGCAGAUUACAAUGUCAUGGUAAUUGACCUUCUUGGACCCAGUUUGGAAGAUUUGUUCAACUACUGCAGUAGGAAAACUAUCGUUGAAAACAGUGUUGAUGAUUGCUGUUCAAAUGAUUAAUAGAGUAGACUAUAUGCAUUCGAGGGCUUUUCUUCACCGUGAUAUAAAGCCUGACAACUUCUUGAUGGGCCUUGAACGCAAGGCAAAUCAGGUACUAGUUAUUUUGUUUUGCUUGUAUGUUAUGUUGGCAAAUAAAACAUGUGCAUACUGAUUAGACUGCUAGCACAACCACC